UGGGAUUCCAGAGGGUGGUGGGGAGGAGCCCACCCCCAGGGCAGAGUUGGGGAGAAUGGGAAGUCUGGAACAGAGGAGAUCCAUGAUGCCUGCCGGCUUACAAAAGAUGCCAUGUCUAUUAAUUUCCCAAGAAACAAGUGGGCCAAUGAACCACACCUGAGGAAAUACAAUGUCAUGCAAGUCCCUCAUCCUGUAGAACUCGCCAGGCCCUGGCAUUGCCAAGACAACCAACGGCUGCCAGCAGAACGAAGAUCCGGGGUGGGGGCAGGGGGCGUGCCGGCCCGCCCCUGGCCUACUAACCUGGCAGGCAGAUUUAAAUGACAGUCCAGGAAGCUACUAUUAAACUGUCACCCCAGCCGAUGGGACGACAGACCCGACAGACCCAGAGUGUUCUUGGGCUGCAGCAACAACACAGUAGGAGUGAGAGGGGGAGGAGACUGUGGCCUAGAGCAACCCGCAGCCCCCUCCCCAGUCUGCCUGCCUGGUCACUCGCUGGCCAGAGCCACCCUCUCAGGCUGUGGCGGGCCCUGGCAUGGGAGCAGCUGGCAGUGCAGGGCCUGGAACACUUUAUUCUUUAUUUUUAAGCAGAGGAACCCUUUUUCCAAGUAAAACCACAACGUAUAAAACAGGCAAACAUGAAGCUGCACUGCUUAUCAGAAACGGUAAGGGCAGAGCCCUCUGACCUUUCCCCAUUAUCCCCUGAACAGUUCUGCAACAGGCCCUGGGGUGGGGGAGGGGGGCCCUGGGCUCAAAGCCCAUCCCCAGCAGCUUUGGGGCCCAGCAGCACUGGGUUCAAGCCCCAACCCCUCUCCGGAUUUGUGAAGUUCCUCAGAAUCCUCUGUGUAAAGAUUCCGGUGGGUCUAGGCACCUGG